AUACUGAAUUUUAACUUCGCAGAAAUCUAUUGCUUCUCCUGCACGUGGCAUUCUUGCCAUUGAUGAAUCGAAUGCAACUUGUGGGAAGAGACUGGCAUCAAUUGGCUUAGAUAACACUGAGAACAAUCGUCAGAUGUAUAGGCAGCUCUUACUGACAACUCCUGGUCUUGGCGAACACAUUUCUAGUGUCAUUCUGUUUGAGGAAACACUCUACCAGUCUACAACGGAUGGCAAGAAAUUGUCGACUGCUUACUUGAUGAGAAUGUCGUGCCUGUCAUCAAGGUCGACAAGAUGUUGGUUCCUCUGCCAGGCUCAAACAAUGAAUCUUGGUGCCAAGGGUUAGAUGGCCUGGCUUCAAGGUCUGCUGAGUAUUAUAAUCAGGGUGCUCGAUUUGCAAAAUGGCGUAUUCCAUGUGAACCUUUUGCUUUGGCAGUUAAGGAAGCUGCUUGGGGAAUCGCUCGUUAUGAUGCUAUCUCUCAGGUUCAUACUAAGCUUUCUUUGCUUUAUGUUCCAUUCUCCAUGCUUCAGUUUGAGGUGGAAGUGGUGGUCUGGUGGGUGGUGAAUUGGUGAUGGUCUGAUGGUAUAUGGUAGAUGUCUUUGUUCAACCUUUUGGAUCUAUUAUUCUAUAUCUGGCGUAUCAACUAGCUUCAAGACUAAACAACCUACAUACAAACUUUUCAACCUGUACUGAAGAAUGGAUCAGUUGCUUUCAGGC